ensembl:lncRNA
CCAUGAGCACACCUCAUCUAGAAAAGUGCACAAAUCAACAGUGUGUCUGUGUGUGUGUGUGUGUGUGUGUGUGUGUGUGUGUGUGUGUGUGUGUGUGUGUGUGCGCGCGCGCGUGUGUUCGUAAACUAUAAACAUACCCCUCCUCUCUCAGUCAUCAGAAGUCCUUCACCUUCUUCACCACUGCACUCCAUGAGCUCUGCUCUCUUCGCCUUGCAAAACAAUUUGAUCUGUUCUGAAUAUUUAGGGUUCUCUCUGUACCGUCGUUCCAGUUCCUUCAUCGCCUCCUCUGCCUUCUGCAAAGCCUCUGUGGCACCGACAUGCCUUUUAUUGCCCUGCUCUUUCCCAGGUCGGGCCUGCUGUAUAAGCUUGUUCACAUGCUCCAGCUGCUUGCUCACCUAUUAAACAUACAUUAAAACACACACACACACACACACACACACACACCCCUUCUCAUCUUCGAGAAUCUCUGGGAUUUUUAUCCAAACCCUCCAUGUUAUAAACUGAACAGUAGUAAUUAAAUAACUCCAAGUUACGUAUACAGUGGUGUAAUGUUUUGGAAUGGCCAAGUCAGAGUCCUGACCUGAAACAAGCAGUUCAUGUGAGGAAACCCACCAACAUCCCAGAGUUGAAGCUGUUCUGUACUGAGGAAUGGGAUAAAAACCCCAGAGUCGAUGUGCAGGACUGAUCAACAGUUACCCCAAACGUUUAUCUGCAGUUAUUACUGCACAAGGGUCUCACACCACAUACUCACAGCAAAGGUGCACAUACUUUUACCCUUCACAAAUAUGCAAUAUUGGAUCAUUUUCCUCAAUAAAUAAAUUUCCAAGUAUAAUAUUAUUGUCUUGUUUGUUUAACUGUGUUCUCUUUAUCUACUUUUAGGACUUGUGUGAAAAUCUGAUGAUGUUUUAGAUCAUAUUUAUGCAGAAAUGUAGAAAAUUCUAAAGGGUUCACAAACUUUCAAGCACCACUGUAUAUAUACACUGUCUGAAUUGACAUGUUGAUAAAGAUUGCAUUAUAUGUUGGUACUAUAAAAGAGCUUUUGUGUUUUUUCCUCAUUAUAAAGACACUUUAGUAAGCGCUCACUCUUGUCUAUUGUCUCACACUGAAGAUAAAAGUAAGAAAUCCAUCCAUCCAUUAUCUAUAGCGAUUAUCCUACAGGGUCACAGGGAACCUGGAUCCUGUCCCAGGGAGCAUGGGGCCCAAGGCAGGGGAAACCCUGGACAGGGUGGCAUCCAUCGCAGGGCACAAUCACAUACACACUCGCACACUACGGACACUUUCAGACAUGCCAAUCAGCCUACCAUGCAUGUCUUUGGUCUGGGGAAGGAAACCGGAGUACCCGGAGGAAACCACCACAACACGGGGAGAACAUGCAAACUCCACACACACAGGGUUUCAGGGGAAACCCCCGACCCUGGAGGUGUGAGGCGACCGUGCUAACCACUAAUCCACCGCACACACAAAAGUUUAAAAUGCAGAACAAUAAAAUAUAGAUGAUGUUUAAGAAGACGUGUCAGACGUCCUGAACUAGUGGUGCAGUGGGAAAAAUAAAUAAAUAAAUACAAAACAAAACACUUUAUUUUAUAUACACACACACACCAACACACACACACAUUCAGCUGCUUGAUGCAGUCCUACUUACCUUGAUGAACUCCUGAUGGACUACAUUCUUCUGGUAUUUUAUACAUAGAAAGAGAAGAGUCACCAGCAGAAUCACCACCACCGUCACUAUGAGUCCAAUUAUCCACCGAGGAAACUUCUCAUCUACAAAGACACACACACACACACACAUUACACCUAUCCGUGACAUUUCCCCUGCAGACCGCCAGGUUGCACCCUCCCUGAGACACACUGAGACACACUGAGACGUACCUGUCACAGCGACGGAGUACACACGGAUGUCUUCUUUAUUCUCCGUGUCCCGGAUGGUGUAACGUCCACUAUCACUGUACGUCACGUCUCUCAGUGUGAGCUCUGGGUAACUGAGUGAUGUUCUGUGUGUGUAUUCAGCUUUACACUGUAGUGAGUGUUGAGUCCCGUUACAGAUCCGUUCACCAUCAGCUGAAUCACUGCUUGUAUAAAUCACCUCCACUGGCUCUGGUACGGUCAGAUCCAGGAUCAGAUCUUCACCAGGGUUCUUCUGAACUGCUGAGAACACGGCUGAGGAGAAAACACAUUCAGCUGUAUUUAGAUUGAAAAAGAAAUCAUUCAAGCUGCAUUCAGAGUCCAGAAAUUGCGUGGGGAAAGUUCACACUUCUGAGGUUGCCAGAUUUUUCUUUAGUAGAAGUUUCAGAGACAGGGUUUUAUAAAAGUGUGAAGACCAUCACCUUUAAAUACAACCAUCUUCAUACCUGAAAAAAAUCAGGGAUAGAAAAUGUGGACUGAAGAAGGAAAUUAUAUUUUUCUUUGCUGUAAAAUGUAAAUUGCCGUAUGUCCAAGAAGCAUCUCCUCCGAUGUCCACUGUGUGAAAAACCCUUUUGUGCAAAGUGAAAAUAUGAUAAGUUCAUUAAUACUGAUGUGUGUGAUUUCAGUACUAAACCCUGACUGUGUGAUUAACUCCACUCUGAAAAUGAUCCUAAUCAUUCAGACUGAAUGUUUUAUCCGCAGUAGAAGAGAUAAAGACACUCACUCUCAAUGCUGAGGCGCACAGUAGAGAUUUCUGAGACGCCACACUCACACGAGUACGUGUUCCUCAUUCUGUAAUCAGCUGCAGUGAUGAUGAGAGAGAGAUCUCCAUCCUGGUACUGAUCAUAAGACAUAUUAUAUCCCUUCACCAGUGAGCUGCAUGACGUAUCAUUACACCGAGCGAAGACAACAUCUCGAUUAUUAAAUAAAGACCAUUUGACUGAACCAGAACAUUUAUAUUCACAUGAGAGAGUCACAGGCUGAUGAAGCUUCACUGUUUUAGAACAGACCGCAGAUAAUACCGGAGCUGAAACAGAGAAGAAGCUGACAGUGAGAGUGUGCAUGUAGAGUGAGAGUGUAGAGUGAGAGUGUGCAGUGAGAGUGUAGAGUGAGAGUGUACAGUGAGAGUGAGAGUGUACAGUGAGAGUGAGAGUGAGAGUGUGCAGUGAGAGUGUAGAGUGAGAGUGUAGAGUGAGAGUGAGAGUGUAGAGUGAGAGUGUACAGUGAGAGUGAGAGUGUACAGUGAGAGUGAGAGUGUACAGUGAGAGUGUAGAGUGAGAGUGUGCAGUGAGAGUGAGAGUGAGAGUGUAGAGUGAGAGUGUAGAGUGAGAGUGAGAGUGUAGAGUGAGAGUGUAGAGUGAGAGUGUACAGUGAGAGUGAGAGUGUAGAGUGAGAGUGUGCAGUGAGAGUGUAGAGUGAGAGUGAGAGUGUAGAGUGAGAGUGUACAGUGAGAGUGUACAGUGAGAGUGAGAGUGUAGAGUGAGAGUGUGCAGUGAGAGUGUACAGUGAGAGUGUACAGUGAGAGUGAGAGUGUAGAGUGAGAGUGUACAGUGAGAGUGUACAGUGAGAGUGAGAGUGUACAGUGAGAGUGAGCAGUGAGAGUGUAGAGUGUAGAGUGAGAGUGUAGAGUGAGAGUGUAGAGUGAGAGUGUAGAGUGAGAGUGUAGAGUGAGAGUGAGAGUGUGCAGUGAGAGUGUAGAGUGAGAGUGUAGAGUGAGAGUGUAGAGAGUGUGCAGUGACAGUGAGAGUGUACAGUGAGACUGUAGAGUGUACAGUGAGAGUGUAGAGUGAGAGUGUAGAGUGAGAGUGUACAGUGAGAGUGUACAGUGAGAGUGUAGAGUGAGAGUGUAGAGUGAGAGUGAGAGUGUAGAGAGUGUAGAGUGAGAGUGUAGAGUGAGAGUGUAGAGUGAGAGUGUACAGUGAGAG